UACGUAGGUGGCAAGCGUUUGUCCGGAUUUAUUGGGUUUAAAGGGUGCGUAGGCGGUCUAUUAAGUCAGUUGUGAAAUACGGCAGCUCAACUGUCGAGGUGCAAUUGAUACUGAUGGACUUGAGUACUGAUGAGGUAAGCGGAAUGGACGGUGUAGCGGUGAAAUGCUUAGAUAUCGUCCAGAACACCGAUAGCGAAGGCAGCUUACUAAGGAGUAACUGA
rnacentral:rRNA from 1 species